GACGAACGCUGGCGGCGUGCUUAACACAUGCAAGUCGAACGGGAUUUAGUAAACGGAAGCCUCGGUGGAAGAUUACUAAUGAGAGUGGCGAACGGGCGAGUAACGCGUGAGCAACCUGCCUAUGACAGUGGGAUAGCCUCGGGAAACCGGGAUUAAUACCGCAUAAAAUCGUAGAAACACAUGUUUCAACGGUCAAAGAUUUAUCGGUCAUAGAUGGGCUCGCGUCUGAUUAGCUAGUUGGUGAGAUAACAGCCCACCAAGGCGACGAUCAGUAGCCGGUCUGAGAGGAUGAACGGCCACAUUGGAACUGAGACACGGUCCAAACUCCUACGGGAGGCAGCAGUGGGGAAUAUUGCACAAUGGGGGAAACCCUGAUGCAGCGACGCCGCGUGAACGAAGAAGGUAUUCGUAUCGUAAAGUUCUGUCCUAUGGGAAGAUAAUGACAGUACCAUAGAAGAAAGCUCCGGCUAAAUACGUG
rnacentral:rRNA from 1 species